UUGGGAGACGGGAGCGAUCCUCAGCACCCCACAUAGGAAUGGGGUGAAGCAGGCCUGAAGGGUGUGCAGGGCUUGGGUGACUGGGGAAUUGGAGGAAGGUGGGCGAAGUCCUAGGCUAAAUGUGGAGACACUCAAAUGGCUCUCUCUUGGUAAUUGGGAGCUACUUAGGGCAUGACCAGAUUUCUAGAAUGACCACUCUGGCACAGGUGUGGAGAUGGCUCAGAAGGGUGAGAUGAGCAGUGUGACUUUGGCCACGUGCAUGUAUGUUGUCCUAGUUCUAUAGCCAGCCCUGCACCCACUCUGAGCAAGGUCAGUGGGCCCUGGGCAGAGGAAGGCAGAGCUAUGUGGAUGUAGAGGCAUCCUGGGCAUUCCUCAAGCCUGACACUCGUGGGUGUGGGUCUCUUGCCCAGACCACUAGCCUGCAGGGCAGAAGCAGCAUCUGAAGUCUCUCUCAGCAAGAACACAAGCUUAGAUUCUAGGGCCUGAGUCUCCAUGUCGGCAGCUCUGGAUCCCAGUCCCAGGGAGAGGGCAACGUCGUUGUGCUGGCUGGGUUCUGUGGAGGAGGAGCUAGAGGCCGCUGGGGCUCCUGGAGCAGAGCUCAGAGGACAGAGCCAGCUGUCAGUGGGGCAGGGAUGGGUACCCGGAUUUGAGGAACAAGAGAGCCUGGGACAAGAGGAUGUUGUGUGAGCCCAUCUCUGCCAUGUGACCAUGGCCAGGGAAACUCCCCGUCACCCAAAUUGGGAAAAGUAAUAGAACAUCAACCCAAGGAAGGGGCUCAAGAAUCCCUGCAGCACUUUCAUUUUCUGAUGGGGUCUCUGAGGCCCAGGGGUUUCUAGCCUGCUCUGGACAACAUGUGUCUGGAAAAGGAAAGUGUCUGAAGGCCACAGUGGGCUGUGUGCACCGAGAGUGAGGGGGAGACAUGCAGUGUGCAAAGGGGACAGGGGCCAAAGCCCAUGGUGCGAUCUCUCCUGCGGCCCGGCAUGUGAGACCCUCCGGGAUACGCCCCCACCUGUUGUGGCCGCCUCUCCAUCUUAAGCUCCCCUGCCCACCCUUGCUCUUCUCUGAGCAACUCCCUCCCCUUGCCGCUGCCACCCGCGGUGCAUCCAUCCCGUGCCCCUCCUGCAUCCUUCCCACCUGCCUCCAGCUCAGGCGUCUGCCCCGGCCAGCACGCCUUGCCCCCUGUGCCACCCUCUUCCUGCUUCAAUUUCCAGCCUGAAGCCAUGUCCCUCCCUUCUUCAUUUAGAAGACAUUGCUGCACCUUGAAUCUUACUUAUUUGUGCCCAUGCGACUGAAGUCCGAGGGCCUGGGCUGAAGCCCUGCUCUGAAGAGUGCUAUAAAUUUGGGUGUGGUCCUUAACUUCCCAGUGCCUCCAUUUCUUCGUUUCUAACAUAAGAAUAUACACUUUUCAGAGCGUCCAUUUGCUCCAGCUUGCCUGGGGCAUCCACGUUUAUGCCUGCUGUGCUGUGUAAUUAUCACUAGUGCUUCCUCUACUCCCAGAAGUGUCUCAGUCUAUAUGAUAAAUUAUAUGUUCAGUCUAUGCCUAAAGCUCUUAUGAAGAUCAAAUUAGAUGAUCCCAGGAGAUAAUCCACAUCAAGCUUCCCAGCAGAGUGCCUGGCAUACGGUGCUGUGGCUAGGAGUAAUGAGCCAGGCAGCCAUCUCUGUGCACCCACUGUGUGCUAUUGAGUCAUAACAUUCAUCCAGGGAGGUUGGCAAGCUGACAUGAUGUCACUGGAUCUGCUGCACCACCAGACUCUCAGAUCUUCCUCUUCCAGAUGGAGUUCUCCCAUCUGGUUACAGAAAUUGAAUCAGUGGAAAGAGAAAUCCUAGGAUGCUGGAAUUUGAGGAACGUUCCAGGAUGCCAAGAAAAAUAGCUCUGUGAUGAACCAAUGGCAUCAUGAUGGCAGAUCUGGAAAAUACAUUUGACUCUGUCUGAGCCACAAUUGCAUAAGAUCACAGAGACCUUGAGGUCCUCUAGGCCACUCCAUGGUGUGACAGAGCAGCAGCUGAUGAUGGGUACACCACGCUGGUAGCAGACAACCAAGACUGAGAACUGUGGCUAUUCACCCCCCUCUGAUUAAAUGCCAGGCUUUGGCCGCCAGGCUCUUCUAAGAGCUGUCUGACAUGUGAAGCUUUACCUUAUCAGCAGGAAGAAAAGAUGACAGUGGGCAGUCUUUCCAGGCCAAGCAUCCAUCAAGACCCACAUAAAUAUUUUCCCAGAGUCUGCAUGGCCAGCAUGUAGCUGGCUAAGUUCCAGGGGACAGUAAAUAAUUCAGACGA